rnacentral:rRNA from 1 species
CACGUAGGGGGCGAGCGUUGUCCGGAUUUAUUGGGCGUAAAGAGCUCGUAGGCGGUUCGGUAAGUCGGGUGUGAAAACUCUGGGCUCAACCCGGAGAGGCCACUCGAUACUGCCGUGACUUGAGUCUGGUAGGGGAGCACGGAAUUCCUGGUGUAGCGGUGAAAUGCACAGAUAUCAGGAGGAACACCGGUGGCGAAGGCGGUGCUCUGGGCCAGUACUGACGCUGAGGAGCGAAAGCGUGGGGAGCGAACAGG